CUUGAUGGACAUGAAUUUGAGUGGACUCGGAGUUGGUGAUGGCAGGGAGGCCUGGCGUGCUGCAGUCCAUGGGGUCGCAAGGAGUAGGACAUGACUGAGCAACUGAACUGAACUGAACUGAAAGUUCACAAGACACUUAGACGUGACUUUAUAUACCCUAUUACAUCCUUUAUAGACUUUUAAUUAAUCAUCUUUCUUUGAAGAAGAAUUCAUUCCAAACCUAUUUUGCACUUUGCCUCUGCAUCUCCUAAGUUUGGAUCUGUCUUUGGGUUUUCUGCUUUGUUCUAUUCAUCUAUUUGUUGAUCCUAUGUUGGUCUCAGAAUCUUGACUACUAUGAAGAAGUCAGGUUUUAAUUGUUCUCAACUAUGGAUGGCUGGAUGGCAUCACCGACUCGAUGGACGUGAGUCUGAGUGAACCCCAGGAGUUGCUGAUGGACAGGGAGGCCUGAUGUGCUGCGAUUCAUGGGGUAGCAAAGAGUCGGACAUGAAUGAGCGACUGAACUGAACUGAACUGAUGGUUUGAAGAUCGAUUUUGUAUUUUAACAGUUAUUGAAAAACCAUGCAGAAAUAGAAUAAUAAAUACAGUUUCCAUCUCUUCACCUCAAAGGAUCUCGAUGAGUUAUAAAGAAUUCCUGGUGCAGGCUUAUACAUGUCUUCAAUACUUUUUAAGGCUGAUUACCUAUGGUCAGUUAAAAAGAAUGUAUUGAACACACUUUUCAGGAGUGGUGUACUAAUUCAUCAAAACCCCUUGCAUGCAUUUUUUGGGUGUUCAUUUUAAACCACAGUCAGUCCUUUAAAUGAGUAAUUUUUGUCACUGUGAGAUUUAUACCCACUGAAUAUUAAAAAUGAUCUUUUAUUGGUGA